rnacentral:lncRNA from 1 species
ACAAAAAAAAAAAAACAAAAAAAUUCCACCAAGACUAAAAGUGACUUCUGGAAGGAAGAGUUUUUGUCUCAGAUGCUACUUCCUCCAAUGAGGCCACACCCUCUAAACAUUCCCAAACAUCUCCACCAACUAGGGACCAAGUGUUACAUGCCUGAGUCUAUGGGGGCAUUUCUCAUUCAAGGCAGCACAGAGGCCCCAACUAUAGUUGAUCCUGUUCUCCAGUCUCACAAAGUCUGGAACUCAAGGUGUGUACAUGCCUGGCCAUUUACUCUGUGGGGCAUUUUUUGAAGGAUGGUCUCACCGCCUAGGCUGGCCUACAAUGAGAAAUAAACGUCAUUAAGGAGAAACCUGCUCCACCCUGGGAAAAAGGGAAGGGUUCCCUCAGAGCUUAGGGGUUUUCUGGGGCUAGAGAGAUGUUAAGAGAUCAGUUAAGAGAACUGACUGAUCUUCCGAAGGUCCUGAGUUCAAAUCCCAGCAACCACAUUAUGGCUUACAACCAUCCGUAAUGAGAUCUGACGCCCUCUUCUGGUGUGUUUUAAGACAGCUACAGUGUACUUACAUAGAAUAGUAAAUAAAAAUGGAUUGGCUGGAACGAGCUGGGCAGGAGCGAGGAGAGGUCUUGAGUUCAAUUCCCAGCAACCACAUGAAGGCUCACAACCAUCUAUACAGCUACAGUGUACUCAUAUACAUAGAAUAAUAAAUUUUAAAAAGGGUUUUCUGACACAAGGGCAUCUUGGCAGUUGGGAGCCAAUGAAUACCACAAAGUGACACCACACAUCAAACUUCACAUGAGAUUUAUUGGAGAGAGACACAGAAUGGCGGCUGUCUCAGUGAGAACAGCUACAGCAGAGGGCUGCGUGAAGGAAAGGCUCUUAUAGGUUUUAGGACCAUGCACAGUGAGCAUGGAAAGGUGGAAAAGUCCAGAGCUGUCCUGAGCAUCGUUCUGCUGUUAAUGCUGAAUCCUACGGAAGGGGAUUGCCUGGUCUCAAGAGCCAGGCUCAAGCCAGUGGCUGGCUGUCCCUCCUUUGGCCCUUUUCCCUGCUUUCUUCCCUUUUAUGUUUAGUAUUGAUAACUAAUCAGGAGUCAGGAAAGAACAUUAUCAUUAAACUACUUCCUGCUGUGUGAGGGUGUUGAAGUCCAUGGGGCAAGCAUGAUCUUCACCAUCAGGGCAUGUUCAGGGGUUGUAGGUCUCUGGUCCCUGUAGUUUGGUGGAGAAGCAGGGUUAGGGAGAGUAGUGUCCAACUCCAUACAGGACCAUCAGUGAUCCAUCAGCCAGAGAGGCACUGAACUGUUGUUUACAUUUUUGAACAUCUGUCAGGAGUUGUCAGUUCUUUACUAUAGCUAACUGGCUGACAUAGAAACAUCAUUCCUCCCUGUGGAGGAGGCAGAGGUCACUCUUCUCCACUGUUGGUAGAUCUAAGCUCAUCAAUUUCUCUCUAAUGGUUUUUAAGUUGUUUGCAUGGAAACGAGAAUUUUUCUUAAAGCCAGACAACAGCUUGUGUGUGUAGCCUCCCCCAGCCUUGAGCAGGCUGACUCAGACCUGUUCUUUAAGGAGACUUUAAGGAGACCACCUAGGGUGGAGUCUUCCGACCUAGAUGGGUCUAUUGUUCUAUCACCUGCGCUGUUCUCCAAGACGCUACCUGCUGAGAGUCUGAACCUGCCUUCCUGAGAAAUUCCUGAGGUAACUGACAACCUGGCUACUGACAACUUACUGCCAACAAGUGCUGUCAGACUAAUUGCUCUUGAUGCCUUAUUGCCAGCAUGGCAGGGGCUGGGCUUUCCCCCUUUAUAAGCACAGACUCUUAGUAAACAUUGGGCCUUGAUCAGAAAAAUUUGUCUUGGUCUCUUCUUUCCCGUUAUUUGGUUUUAACAGGCACCUUUUCUGUGGUGAUUUGAAUAUGCUAUGGCCCAUAUUUGAAUAUGUGGCAAUAUUAGGAGGUGUGGCCUUGUUGAAGAAAGUGUGUCACUGUGGGUAUGGGCAUAGGAAUCUUGUCCUAUCUGUCUAGAAGCAAGUCUUCUCCUAGCAUCCUUCAGAUGAAGAUAUAGUACUUUUAGUUCCUCCUGCACCAUGCCUGCAUGAAUGCUACCAUGCUCCCACCGUGAUGAUAAUGGACUGAACCUCUGAACCCAUAAGCCAGCCCCAGUUAAAAGGAGUUUCCUUGGGGGCUGGAGAGAUAGCGAUUAAAAGCACUUACUGCUCUUCCAGAGGUCCUGAGUUCAAUUCUAAGAAACCACAUGGUGGCUCUUAACAUCUGUAAUGGAAUCCGAUGCCCUCUUUUGGUGUGUCUGAAGACAACUAGUAUACCCAUAUAGGUAAAAUAAAUGCUUAAAUGGGCAGGUAGUAAGAAACUUAGAGUAGCCGGGCGUGGUGGCGCACGCCUUUAAUCCCAGCACUCGGGAGGCAGAGGCAGGCGGAUUUCUGAGUUCGAGGCCAGCCUGGUCUACAAAGUGAGUUCCAGGACAGCUAGGGCUACACAGAGAAACCCUGUCUCGACCCAA